CAGUCGCCGCGGGAAUACGUAGGGUGCAAGCGUUAAUCGGAAUUACUGGGCGUAAAGCGUGCGCAGGCGGUUUGUUAAGACAGAUGUGAAAUCCCCGGGCUUAACCUGGGAACUGCAUUUGUGACUGGCAAGCUAGAGUAUGGCAGAGGGGGGUGGAAUUCCGCGUGUAGCAGUGAAAUGCGUAGAUAUGCGGAGGAACACCGAUGGCGAAGGCAGCCCCCUGGGCCAAUACUGACGCUCAUGCACGAAAGCGUGGGGAGCAAACAGGAUUAGAUACCCCUGUAGUCCCUGUCUCUUAUAA
rnacentral:rRNA from 1 species